rnacentral:rRNA from 1 species
GUAAGGAAUAUUGGUCAAUGGACGGAAGUCUGAACCAGCCAUCCCGCGUGCAGGAUGAAGGUCCUAUGGAUUGUAAACUGCUUUUAGCAGAGACGAAACGCUUCCAUUUAUGGGAGUCUGACGGUAUCUGCAGAAUAAGCACCGGCUAACUCCGUGCCAGCAGCCGCGGUAAUACGGAGGGUGCAAGCGUUAUCCGGAAUCACUGGGUUUAAAGGGUGCGUAGGCGGAAUAUUAAGUCAGUGGUGAAAGCCUGUCGCUUAACGAUAGAACUGCCAUUGAUACUGAUAUUCUUGAAUUGGGUUGAGGUUAGCGGAAUGUGACAUGUAGCGGUGAAAUGCAUAGAUAUGUCAUGGAACACCAAUUGCGAAGGCAGCUAACUGGGCCUUGAUUGACGCUGAGGCACGAAAGCGUGGGUAGCGAACAGGAUUAGAUACCCUUGUAGUCC